ACCAAAUGUCAUUUUCUUGUACAGAAGCAAAUCGAUCUUCCAUCUUACCGAAGUAUCGGAUCCUUGCUUCAAAUCAGCUCAGCACGGGACAGAUGCUGGGGAAGCUGCCCAUCAGAAGCCUCGCUUGUGAACAAGAACGCACGGACUUGUUCAAAUCCUCCUAAUUACUCCUCUAAUCCAGUCCACAAAUGAUUGGAUAAAGUUUCACCAUCUGUAGUCAGAGACUGACGGAUUCUGGACUCUUGUGCGGCAAACUCCAGUUGGUUCUACUGAGGUAGGUCCUAGGUGUUCUUCAAUCUUGAACUGCUUACCUGGCCAAAACAAAAAAAACAAAAACAAAAAAACUGAAAGUGAAAGGUGCUGUGGAAGGAAGGCAAGAUGGGGAAAGCAAGCAAGAAAGAAAGAGAGACUCUUCAAGUCCUAAUGUCUAUUUAAUUGUGUGCUGAUUAAAGAAUUUCAUGGUGGAUUUGCUGUGCCCUAAGUGGCAGAUUUGGAUUGGAUCUUGGGGCAAAAGCGAAGCAAAGGUCAAAUACUCUCAUCGUCUAUGUCUAUAUCCUGAUCCUGUUGAAGAGUCCAGCUUUGUUGGCCGGCAAACAGGAGGUGAAAGAGGGGAACGAAGGGUUAGGUGGCAAAGGAGGUAGUAGAGAAGUGAAAUCAGUCCUCAUCUCUUGCCAAAUUCAAUCUUGUUGGAGCCAUCUUUACCCUUAUUGGUGGUGCACAAGAUCCUGAUUCCCUGCCAUGGUUGACUGAAAUUGAAGGUCUGGAGCUAGUCGGAGGCUGCUUCGGUUCUUGCAUUCCGAAGGCACCGGCAAGAUAAGAGGGAAGGUGUUUGUGGAAUUGUCUCCUUGAAGGCAGCUGAGGAAACGGAGCAAGGAUGACGAUGCCGUGGGGGGUCGCGGCCAGCAUCGUGGACAUGGUGUGGGCGGUGCUCGCCGGCUGGGUGUCCACGUGCCUCGUGAUCGCCAACGAGGUCGCCCGCGCUAUGCGCAGCGGCGAGAUCGGCCCGUUUGUCGUCGGCUGAGUUCUCCGGCGUAGUUAAGUCAUUCGUUCCUGCAGGUUGGUGAUCAGCUCAGAUAGUUUUUUCCAUUCCGGUACAUUUGAUACACACUGCAUUUACUGUACAGAGACCAUAGAUUGCUUGGCUUCAGCCUUCAGAACAGAAGUGACAGAAUCUAGAGGAUCAUUUACUUUUGUUUCUAGAAUUUUUGUGUUCUGUGGUAAAUGUUGUAAAGCGUUGGCACAACCACAUACGAACAUCCAUGUUAUGUACUCUCCCCCUCUUCAGUGGAAUGGAUCAAGAGUUAGAUCUCUAAUAAUGCAGAAUUGAACUUGGCAUA